rnacentral:rRNA from 1 species
UACGUAGGGUGCGAGCGUUAAUCGGAAUUACUGGGCGUAAAGCGUGCGCAGGCGGUGAUGUAAGACCGAUGUGAAAUCCCCGGGCUUAACCUGGGAACUGCAUUGGUGACUGCAUUGCUCGAGUAUGGCAGAGGGGGGUGGAAUUCCACGUGUAGCAGUGAAAUGCGUAGAUAUGUGGAGGAACACCUGUGGCGAAGGCGACCUUGCUGGCCAAUUU